rnacentral:misc_RNA from 1 species
GAUGAAGAACGUAGCGAAAUGCGAUACGUAAUGUGAAUUGCAAAUUCAGUGAAUCAUCGAGUCUUUGAACGCACAUUGCGCCCCCUGGUAUUCCGGGGGGCAUGCCUGUCCGAGCGUCAUUGCUGCCCUCAAGCACAGCUUGUGUGUUGGGCCCCGUCCUCCGAUCCCGGGGGACGGGCCCGAAAGGCAGCGGCGGCACCGCGUCCGGUCCUCGAGCGUAUGGGGCUUUGUCACCCGCUCUGUAGGCCCGGCCGGCGCUUGCCGAUCAACCCAAAUUUUUAUCCAGGUUGACCUCGGAUCAGGUAGGGAUACCCGCUGAACUUAAGCAUAUCAAUAAGCGGAGGA